GCAUGUGUUUAUGUAUAUAUAUCGGCAAGUUGCAGGUCGAUCAGGAAAUUGGGGAGACUUUUCACAUUCAAGGAGUGACCAAGUAAGAGGAGACUAUCUUGAGUCGUUUAAACGGCGUCCUCCUCCGAAGGAACUGGAUUAGAAAUAAACUGUAAUUGACGGAUGGGGCUGUUCAGUACUGCUGUAGCAUCUCUUAAUUCAAUGGGGAAUAUUCGAAUGUGUUGAUCGUGUGCGCCAAUUAAAGGAAAGUUUGCUACAAGCCGAGCUAUGGUACAAGGAUCUCUGCAAGCCGAGUUUUCGGCUUUCAAUUAGGAAUGGAGAUCGCUGAAGCGUUGAAGUUGGAAUUUGAUUUAACCUUAAUUUGAAAUCAAAUACUGGAGUGACAAUUGAAGCUCUGUAUCAGAUUAAUCUAUAGCAGAUUGAUUGGAGUCUUUUA